GGGGAAUAUUGGACAAUGGGCGAAAGCCUGAUCCAGCCAUGCCGCGUGUGUGAAGAAGGUCUUCGGAUUGUAAAGCACUUUAAGUUGGGAGGAAGGGCAGUUACCUAAUACGUGAUUGUUUUGACGUUACCGACAGAAUAAGCACCGGCUAACUCUGUGCCAGCAGCCGCGGUAAUACAGAGGGUGCAAGCGUUAAUCGGAAUUACUGGGCGUAAAGCGCGCGUAGGUGGUUAGUUAAGUUGGAUGUGAAAUCCCCGGGCUCAACCUGGGAACUGCAUUCAAAACGACUUGAUUAGGGAAUGGUAGAGGGGGGUGGAAUUUCCUGGGAGGGGGGGAAAUGGUUGGAUAAAGGAAGGAACACCAGUGGCAAGGCGACCACCUGGACUGAUACUGACACUGAGGUGCGAAAGCGUGGGGAGCAAACA
rnacentral:rRNA from 1 species